ACCCCUUUUCUCUCCCGCGUGGAGUGUUUGAGCUGCUUAGGUGUGGCGCCAAAAGCUUGGCCAUCUGGAAAAGAAGAACGACUGCAGGACCAGAGGAGAGGAACCAGGAACUCUACCAGAAAUGCAGGCGAUGGAUCUUGAGCAGAUGUGCGAUUCCGACCAAGGUGCAGAUGUCUUCCAUCACUGGGACAUCUAGAGGCCAGGGCAGAGGACUAUGAGCUUGGUGGAGGAGCGUGGACGCCGAUCACCGAGAGCCUCUCAGAUCUGCUGCAUGACAGCCAGAGGAACAUCUUCAGCCGGUAAGAAUCCUAACUCCGUGGAGAUUCUACCGCGAGAUCUUCCUGUUACCCGAUCAGAAGUGGAGAGGAUGCUGACGUUCUGAUUGAUUUGAGUUUAACUCAUCUAACGAGAGGAAUAGAUCGGUCUGAUCUGACUGAGAUCGAAGGAUCUGAAGAAGAAAUGAAGUGCUGACGAGAUAGGGCGAGCACAAUCCCUGUUUUAGGUGGAUCCCCUAACGAACAACUUAGAUCGACUUUAAUUCUUGUUGAGAUCAGUUCUUCUGUCGCAUUCUGUAUCUAAUUGUUGUGGAUUACUUGCGACGAGCAACGAAGUGAAAUCUGUUGAGGAAUUGGAUGAUUGAAGACGAAGAAUAGAGGAUGAAUUCUGUAAAGGCACAGUGACAGAAAUUUCUGUUAAUCUGUGAAUUCCCGACGAUCCGAGCAAGAUCUGAAUUCGAGAAUAGCUCAGUUGUCUUCGUUACUAAUGGAGGAACAUUUUGAUGAAGUUUGAGGAGAAUCCACGCUAUUUUGGAUAGUUCGCCGGAGCUGAUCGGAAGCACGGCGGUGGAUCGCGGAAUUAGGUGGCGCAGUUCUGAGCGACAUCAGAAACUAGGCUGAUUUUAAUCCUCAAGGACUCACCUUUUGGCAGCUGCUUUGAAGCUGAAUUUUUGGGUGUUCGUUCAUCAGUAUCUUAGCAAUCACUGGUCCAAAUUUCAGCACAAUCCAAGUGACGGUUGAAUUUUGGCGAAUUUUUGAAGGUGAUUGACUCUAGACGUUGCCUGAGCCCUGCGACAGGCAAUUUCAGGCAGAAUCAGGCGCAUCUUUGGGCUCAACGAGUCAGCAACUGAAAACGAAUUUGGAGCUGGUUUUUCGAACGUCUAACCCUCAAGUACUUAGCUUCAUUCAGACCAAUUUUCACGAUUUUAGAAGCUUUGGAUGAGAAGAUAUGAAUUUUUGAAGGAGAUUGUCUUGUGAACUGAGCUUGAGCAUCUGAGGCAAGCUGUUUCAGGCAGAAAUAGGCACAACUUUCAGUUCAACGAGUUAGCUGUUGGAAGUGACUUUGGAGCUGGGUUUUGGAGCGUCUAUUCCUCCAUAUUUAAACUUCCUCCAGACCAAUUUUCAUGAAUUUAGGAGAUCUGGACGAGGAGAUAUGAUUUUUUGAAAGAGCACGGUUAUGGAAGCUGGCUUCACACCUGCAAGAGGGAUUCUCGCCAGUUUUCCCAAUUUCUAUCUUAGAUUUGGGUGAAACCAGAGAUCUGCAUCAGAUCCAUUGCUGUAAGCCGCCGCUGCAACCUGUUCCCGAGAUGGACCUGCAUUUCUGAAGAGCGCGCUGCCGGCACUGAACGGGGCACAUGUUUUUCCCUAAUUCAUCACUUAACAGGGAUUCAAUCGAUCCUUGAACCGAACAAGCGAGAAGAGACUGAUCAGCAGGAAGACGUGAGCUACUGUGGAGCUGAUCAUUGAAGGGACGAGCGCUGGCAUCUAUCCAGCGUCUGCUACCCCCUAGUUCACCCCAAAACAUGGGUUCCUAUAUGGGGAAGAGCAGAACUUGCUAGUUUCCUGUACUUCUGAUUUGAUGCGACUGUGAUCUGUUGUAUUCCCUUGCGAGCUGAGGUGCUUCGGAGAGGAGGACUCAGCUGGAGAUCACCAUCUUACUGUGCGCAAGAUCUGAGCCUGUGGAGAAGUGCUGAGUACUGAGGAUUGUAUUGGUCUUCUUCCUUGGUGAGUGUUGGACUAGCUCCAGCAAGGUACAUCCAAACCCCCCUAUAGUUGCGUGGAAGGGUGCAUUCUAUUUCCAGCCAACCUUUGGGUUUGCAGUUGUAGGGAAUCCUCUAAAGCUCGUUUAGCCGAGGACACAUUCCCAAGCUGCUGGACUUACCUAGGGCGAAGGGUGUGGAUUGCUCGUCUUAGGGAUUGCAUGAAUGGUUUGGCUUGGAUGAAUGAUUGAUGAAUGAGGGAGAGUUCAAAUUUGUAUCGAGAACGCUUGUAAAGCCUCACAUGCCCACUCCUGAUUGUAGUAGGUUGAAAAUUUGGAAGGGACAUUCCACUUGUAUAUCAAUCCUAAGGGAUAUAUUCAGUCGGGGUUGUGUCCGACUUGGGAUCAAAUUUUGUAUUCCCUAUUCUUUUAACCUCCCUCGGCGUGUUAGUCCCCAAUAGAUCUUGGGAAGCAACUGCAUCUUGGUGAGAUUUGAGCAGCUACAAGGGCAGGGCGCAUCAG